rnacentral:rRNA from 1 species
ACUCCUACGGGAGGCAGCAGUGGGGAAUAUUGGGCAAUGGGCGCAAGCCUGACCCAGCAACGCCGCGUGAGGGAAGAAGGCUUUCGGGUUGUAAACCACUGUCCUUGGUGACGAAAAAAAUGACGGUAGCCAAGGAGGAAGCCCCGGCUAACUACGUGCCAGCAGCCGCGGUAAUACGUAGGGGGCGAGCGUUGUCCGGAAUUACUGGGCGUAAAGGGUGCGUAGGUGGCCUUUUAAGUUGGAUGUGAAAUACCCGGGCUUAACUUGGGGGGUGCAUCUAAUACUGGGAGGCUAGAGUGCAGGGGAGGAAAGCGGAAUUCCUAGUGUAGCGGUGAAAUGCGUAGAUAUUAGGAGGAACACCAGUGGCGAAGGCGGCUUUCUGGACUGUAACUGACACUGAGGCACGAAAGCGUGGGGAGCAAACAGGAUUAGAUACCCUGGUAGUC